ACCUUCUAGUGGGUGUGGAGUCUGAAAAACUCGGAUAUCGUGUGUCGUCAUCAGCUUCUUCUCUUGUAAUCCCACGAGAUUGGAGUUAAAUAACGGCACGACAUUC